rnacentral:rRNA from 1 species
CACGUAGGGCGCAAGCGUUGUCCGGAUUUACUGGGCGUAAAGAGCGCGCAGGCGGUCGAUCAAGUCGAGUGUGAAAGCCCCCGGCUCAACUGGGGAGGGUCAUUCGAUACUGAUCGACUCGAAGGCAGGAGAGGGUGGUGGAAUUCCCGGUGUAGUGGUGAAAUGCGUAGAUAUCGGGAGGAACACCAGUGGCGAAGGCGACUACCUGGCCUGUUCUUGACGCUGAGGCGCGAAAGCUAGGGGAGCAAACGGG